AAUGUGUCUAGUUGGUAAGCAUCAAGCUCCCUCUCAACCAUCUACCGCGAGAGUUCCUUUAAUUAUCGUUUUGUUUGAUAAUCAUGUUAAGAAUAUUGUCAAUGACGUGCUUAUCAAUUAUUUAUUGAGCUGUAUUAUGGAUUCUGGACCAGUUAACUGCACAUGUGACCGGCUAACGUUAGCAUCAUUCUAGCUAGGUAGCUACAUCUGAUAGCCACGUGUUGGACUAUUUCCAAGCCAUCUUCUCCUGUAGACCAACUGUACUUUACAACGUCCAUCAAUGCAUGGGCCCUCUCCUGUGAUGUCUUUGCACUGGGCUCUGAAACCAUGUGGAUAACGUGCCUCUCUGGACUUGACAAUCCGGAGACUGAGGAGACUAGCUACAGGGGUUAGCCUAGCCUAGUGGCGCCUCAUGGCAUCUCACUAACACGCCGACCUUCUCCUUGUCUUGCAGGAAGUGGAUCAGGCCACCAAGGAUCUCUGAGGUUAGUAUGAAUGUUUGGUUUUACGGGAGUAAGCUUAUAUUAUUAUUUUCUUAUGAUGUCUUUGCACUGGGCUCUGAAACUCUGUGGAUAGCGUGCCUCUCUGGACUUGACAAUCCAGAGACUGAGGAUAACAUGGAUGCAGUGACUUGGCCUUACGUACCUUUCAGCCGAUGAUUAUUAACGUGCUUUUUCUUCGUCUUGCAGGACGUGUGACCUAGUGCCAUGAGCUGACUGUAAACAUCAGAUGCUGCAUCUUCCUCAAUGGCGCCAUCUAGUGAGUGAUCGCUGAAAGUACAUCCAAAUAAUUUCGCGUAUUUUGUUUAUCCAAAUAAUGCCAAUAUUUCUUUGAAUAAAACUAUCUUUGUAACUAAUGUGUCUUUUAUUACGGGAGGGGCAAUGUAUUUCUAUCGACACUUGAGUAAUUAGAAACUUACAAUUAUUUAAUUACAUCUCUAUCCUCUAUUGACCAUAAAGGGUUACGCACAGAGCAUUGUUGUCUUGACUUAUCAGACAUUACACAGGCCUAGACAAUAAAAUCUCUGCUCAAACACACUUAAAAUAUCAAUCUGCUGAAAUGAAAAAGCAAUUAAUGCAGGCACCUACCCAAGCUGUCCAUGCUUCUUCUGUAGCGCCGGACAGCCAUCAGGUUGCCAUACAUAAUAACUUUCACUGACGGUCGCUGUUUGGUUCCUUAAUACCUUUCAGCAACAUAUAGGGGAAGAACAAAGUUCUGAGGUCUGUUUGAUUAGCCUUUAGUUAUGCUGAAUCUCAAAGUAACCAAGAGUAAAAUUCUGUCAUGUCAGAUUAUGAGUUAUCACUUGAAGUUUGAACUAAAUCAUUUGCUAUAAUUUUAUUUGGACUAUGAAAGGUUGGCUUCCGUGAGGGCAUUAUCGAAUGUUUACGAGCUAUUAUUUGGUCGAAAUCAAUGAAGAUUACAUCAUAAAAAUUUAUUCAGUGUAAUAUGAACUGAAUAUUCAGCUACACUACAGAAACACUCAGUUUUGCUGAAAUGUUUCUGAAUGUCUGGGAAUAUCUGGAUGAUUCCGAUUUAGCAAGACAGUUCAAUUGUGUAGGGAACACGGUUUGCAAGGAUCCUGUGUGUAAAGUUUGGCUGAAAGAAACCCAGGCUGAAAAUGUAGGAAUGAUAACGCUAUACAUUGUUAUACCACUAGACACUAUUUUCAAAUUUGCUUCUUGACACAUUUCAGCAGGAUUGAAUAGAUGGUGAUGACUUGUUUCUUCAUCUUUAUUAUAAUUCUAACAAUUUAAUCUCUUAAAACAUUUGAAAUUUGUUUAUAUGAAUGUGCGCAUAUGUAUAUCACAUACAUAUAUUCCGUUAUACCUUUAUCAGUUCAUAUCUUUAAAAGACCUCUUAAAAUAAAUUAAGUGCUUUCUAUACAGUGAGACCGAUCUGGAAUAUUUCUAGCAACAAAGGGGCUGCCUAUUAGUUCUCCUCACAAGGUACCCAAGAUUGAGGGGUAGCGAUACAAAAACAGGAUUUUUUUUCAUUUAUUUUCCCCAUCAAAUCAAGUGUAAGGACUUCAAUAUAGAAAGUCAUUUAUUUUCUCACUUGGGGAAACCGGCCCUUUAACCUGGCCUCAAUCCAGCCAACAGGUAGUUGGAUAUAACAAGCCCCAGGUGCAACACAUUUUACAAUAUUAACCCUUUAAGCAUGUAAUACGUGUUGCCUAGGGUUACAAUGAUCAUUGGGACAAGCAAUAAGGGCGAAAAAUGUCAGUUCUCGCUAUAAGCAAUUAAGUUAUUAAUAGCCGAGAUAUUAAUAAACUUAAAGGCUCAUCUCUGCAACAACAGAUUUGGACCAGAGGAUGUUUGAAUACUGUGGGGUUGUUAUCGACACUGUCUGUUCAACGAAGGGAAAGGGAAUAGAUUGAAAACAAAACUAGGUCAAACUGUAUAGAAGGCGGAGCAGUUAAAUAACAAACACGUCGAAACCAUUUUCAUGUCAAACUGUAUAGAAGGCGGAGCAGUUAAAUAACAAACACAUCGAAACCAUUUUCAUGUCAAACAUUUGGAAGACAGAGAUUCUGUAGAACUUUUGAGACAUUUUUCACAUCUUAAAACCAUAAUUAGGAUGACCAUUACUUUCAUCGUCCUUAUUGCUAGACAAAUCGCAUUUCAAUAUGUAUCUCUCCUAGACUACCGGCCUUUUACAGCCACAGAAAAAUAGAUAUACCUGUUAUAUAUAAUCUCUGAUCGUUGAUCAAUGGCUUGUGAGCACGCGCACAGUACGCAAACGGAUGUAGAAACGAUGCGGUGGUCUGCCU